GAAACUUGUGUUGAAACUCGUCAAACUGUUCUAAUAGUAAAAAAAGCGAAAGGGUGGAUUCUAUAGCAUUUAGAUGCAACUUGUUUCCUAAAUUAGACUAAUUUAAAUGGGGCUACAUGUUCCCACUUCUAAUUUCACGUGAUAACGAUGUGUAUAAUAGACAUUGGAACUAGCGGUAUGAAGGUCUACAUAAAUCUGAAUCUAGAUAAACUAGAAAGCACGAGAUAGGAACAUUGAAAUGCAAACUAUCAAGGUUGUCGUAGCCGAUAGAUUUUGGCAAGCUACUCUUCAAUGGAUACCCCAGUCAAAACAACACCAAAUUUCAUCAAUGCAUGAUGGAGAAUGGAACCGAAAUAAAUGGAAAUGAUACCCAGUAGCAAACAGUCCCUGAGGAAGAUGAAGUCAAUGCAAUAAUGAUUGAAGUUCGUUUCAUUUCUGUCACAGAAUUGCAGGAUGUUGAAAAGAAGAUUUAAAAGGGAAUUGUGUGGCCCUAAAUGUUAUGAUAGCAACUCUCCGUGGAUGAGUGUGCACGCCGCGGAGAUCUGACUGGAAGAGGCAGAGUCAUGGCUUGCUGCUCGCUGAUUGCCACGCAGGGAUGUGAAAUCUAUAAACACACGCUGAAGGCAUUUUACUAAAACCCCACAUUCUCUCAUUAAAAACGCAAAAAAAAAUUCUGGCAUAGGAUGCAAUGCUUGUUUUUCUCCUGGGUUAAUUAAAUGGAACGAAGGUGAACAUCUGUUGCAUUUGAGCAACCGGUUAACUCCAUUUAAAACUACACAAAAAAAACUACACAACAAACCAAAUUGUGGGUCGCGAAAUAUAAAACGUGAUUCAUACUUUCGUUCCUAUUCCGUGCCACAAAUCUAUACAAGCUUUAAAAUUAGGAUCUUCAUCUUCUUAUUGGCAUUACAUCCCCACACUGGGAUAGAGCCGACUCACAGCUUAGUGUUCAUUAAGAACUUCCACAGUUAUUAACCGCGAGGUUUCUAAGCCAGGUUACCAUUUUUGCAUUCGUAUAUCAUGAGGCUAGCACGAUGAUACUUUUAUGCCCAGGGAAGUCGAGACAGUUUCUAAUCCGAAAAUUGCCUAGACCGGUACCGGGAAUCAAACUCA